UACGGAGGGUGCAAGCGUUGUCCGGAUUUAUUGGGUUUAAAGGGUGCGUAGGCGGCCUCUUAAGUCAGUGGUGAAAGCCCGCGGCUCAACCGCGGAACUGCCGUUGAUACUGGCGGGCUUGAGUUCGGUCGAGGCGGGCGGAACUGGUGGUGUAGCGGUGAAAUGCUUAGAUACCACCAAGAACCCCGAUUGCGUAGGCAGCUCGCUUGGCCGAAACUGACGCUGAGGCACGAAAGCGUGGGGAGCGAACAGG
rnacentral:rRNA from 1 species